GAUGGACAGUGAAACUAGCAGUAGAGAGAAAGGUGUUUGUGGAAAAGCUGCUUUGAAAGAAGUGCUAUCGUGGCAGGCUCAUCGCAGUCCAGUUCUUUCCAUGAUCAUGACUUCCUAUGGCGAUCUGUGGUCUGGAUCUGAGGGUGGUUCCAUCAAGAUCUGGCCUUGGGAAGGAAUGGAGAAAGCGAUUGCUCUGAUAUAUGAGGAAAGGCACAUGGCUGCUUUGUCGAUAGAGAGGUCAUAUGUGGAUCUAAGGAGCCAAGUUAUGCAUAAUGGAACAGGCAAUAGCAUAUUUUCUGUUGAUGUCAAAUAUAUGCUGUCUGAUCGCUCUGGAGCAAAAG
rnacentral:misc_RNA from 1 species